ACACAGUUUAACAUGAUGGACUAUAGGACAGGACUGCUGCUGUUAACUAUCUGCUGGGCAGGUGUUGAUGGUCAGACUCUGACAGAAUCUGAACCAGUGGUUAAAAGGCCUGGAGAAUCUCACAGAUUGACCUGUACAGCCUCUGGAUUCACAUUCAGUGACUACCAUAUGGCCUGGAUCAGACAGGCUCCUGGAAAAGGACUGGAGUGGAUUGCCUGGGUGGAAAAUGAUAAUGACGGGAAACACUACUCUCAGUCAGUUCAAGGCCGGUUUACCAUCUCCAAAGACAACAGCAGACAGCAGGUGUAUCUGCAGAUGAACAGUCUGAAGACUGAAGAUUCUGCUGUUUAUUAUUGUGCUCGAC